AUGUAAAUUUUUGUGUGAAUUUUUAUUUAUUUAAAUAAUAUAUAAUUUUUAUAAUAUUCUCAGUAAUUAAUUUUAUAAAUCAAGGAAACUUGGAAUUAGUAAUUCCUUAAAGUAUUGGCUAAAUUUGUGCCAGCAGCCGCGGUUAUACAAAUAAUACAAAUAAAAUGAGUUUAGUGUAAGUUAAAUUUUAUAUUUAUUAAAAUAUAUUUAAAUUUGUUAGGUGAAAUUUUAAAUUUAUAAAUUUUUAUUUAAAUAAUAUUGAAGCUUUUAAAUUUUAUUAAUAAACUAGGAUUAGAUACCCUAUUAUUUAAAAUGUAAAAAAUUAACAUUAAGGUAGUAUUAGUUAUGUUCUUUAAACUUAAAAAUUUUGGCGGUAUUUUAGUCUGUUCAGAGGAACCUGUCCUGUAAUUGAUAUUCCACGAUGCACCUUACUUAAAUUUGUUUUCAGCCUAUAUACCGUCGUUAUCAGAAUAUUUUAUUAGAAUAAUAAUUUUCAAUAAUUUUUAUUAAAAUUUAUAUCAGAUCAAGGUGUAGCUUAUAUUUAAGUAGAGAUGGGUUACAAUAAAAUUUAUUUAAUUGGAUUUAAAUUUGCAAUGUUUAAUAAAAUUGGAUUUGAUUGUAAAAUUUUAUAGAUUAAAAAUUUGAUUAUAGCUCUAAAAUAUGUACACAUCGCCCGUCACUCUUAUUAUUAAGGUAAGAUAAGUCGUAACAUAGUAGAUGUA
rnacentral:rRNA from 1 species